rnacentral:rRNA from 1 species
GCCUGUUUAACAAAAACAUCGCCUCCUGCAACACAACCAAGUAUAGGAGGUCCAGCCUGCCCAGUGACUACAAGUUCAACGGCCGCGGUAUUUUGACCGUGCAAAGGUAGCGCAAUCACUUGUCUCUUAAAUGGAGACCUGUAUGAAUGGCUAAACGAGGGCUUAACUGUCUCCCCCCUCCUGUCAGUGAAAUUGAUCUACCCGUGCAGAAGCGGGUGUAAUAAUACAAGACGAGAAGACCCUUUGGAGCUUAAGGUACAAAAAUCAACCACGUCAAGCAACUUAAUAAAGAGCAGAAACUUUGUGGGUAGUGAUUUUUUACCUUCGGUUGGGGCGACCACGGAGGAAAAAAGAGCCUCCAGGUGGACUGGGAAAACAUCCUAAAGCUAAGAGAGACAUCUCUAAGCCGCAGAACAUCUGACCAAUCAUGAUCCGGCUGACAAAGCCGAUCAACGAACCAAGUUACCCUAGGGAUAACAGCGCAAUCCUCUCCCAGAGUCCAUAUCGACGAGGGGGUUUACGACCUCGAUGUUGGAUCAGGACAUCCUAAUGGUGCAGCCGCUAUUAAGGGUUCGUUUGUUCAACGAUUAAAGUCCUACAUGAUCUGAGUUCAGACCGGAG